CCCUUAGAUGUUCUGGGCUGCACGCGUGCUACACUGAUAUUGCCAAUAUGUCAUUCUUAUCCGAAAUGGAUUGGGUAAUCAAGUAAUGAAAUUUCAUGCUUGGAAUCGGUAAUUGCAAUUUUAUCGUGAACGAGGAAUUCCUAGUAAGCACUAGUCAUCAGCUAAUGUUGAUUAUGUCCCUGCCCUUUGUACACACCGCCCGUCGCUACUACUGAUUGGAUGUUUAAGCGAGGUUCUCGAACUGCUAGCGACUUAGCUUCGGUGAGGUCGCAGUGUGGGAAGUGAACCUAGCUUUGGUGUCUAGAGGAAGUAAAAGUCGUAACA
rnacentral:rRNA from 1 species